rnacentral:lncRNA from 1 species
AUUCUAUCUCUUCUUAUUAAGGAUAAAGAUGAGAAAGAAAGUAGUCCUGCUUCAUCAGAGGUUUAGUCCACGGGUAGUCCUGUGGAAUCAGAGGUUUAGUCCAGUAGUUUCGUAGUUAAGAGCUUCUUUGGAGCAAGAUCAGAGGAAGAGAUGGGCAAUUCCAUUCUUAAAGGAAAGAGAACUAGACUAGGGGAGGGAUGUUACUAGACCACCGAUUGCCCGCAUCCAGCUAAGAGGUGAGCUAGGUAGUUAGGGAAUGAAGCGGCGGAGUGAGAGACUACAACCGAUGCUGGGCAGACUGUUGCUAUUGGUAUUGAUUCUCUGUAUUGGUACUUGGACUGCAGCUAUGUAGUUAGAGAAUAGAGCCAGUGAGGCAGAGAAUGAGACCGGGUGAUCAAAGAAUAGAACUGGUGCCGGGCAGACUUAAGCUGGUUAACCUAAGAAUGCAACCCAUACCACUGAGACUUUCACCAAUGAAUCAAAGCCUGAUACUGAUGCUAAUGAUUCUCUGUAUUGCUACUCGGAAUGAGCUCCUGUAGCUAGGGCCUCUAACCACUUCAUCCAAGCCUUAGUUCAAAGAGACAGCCCUAUAGUAAGUUGGGGAGUUAUGAAAGUGUAGUUUAGAGUAGCUAGUGGAAUGAUUUGGUCAGUGAGCCCGGCCCUAUCGUUAACAGGAAAAAGAAGUAGGUUUGGGAAGUAGGAAGUAAGAGACAACCUCAUAAGUAGGAAUUACAGAGAAGCUGGAAUGGAACUCAGUUGGCAAGUAGGGAG